rnacentral:tRNA from 1 species
GGGAGCUUAACUCAGUGGUUAGAGUGCUAUCUUCACACGGUAGAAGUCACAGGUUCAAAUCCUGUAGCUCCCACCA